AAACCUGGGCAACUGGGUGAGUAGAGUGGCGCACGGGUGAGUAACACGUGGGUAACCUACCUUCGAGUGGGGAAUAACUCCCCGAAAGGGGAGCUAAUACCGCAUAAGACCACGACCUCUUUGGAGGUUGCGAUCAAAGGUGGCCUCAUCAAACAGAGUGUUUGGGACGAUCUUCCCGCGCGGAAGAUGGUCCUCAGCGCUUUGUCCAGUGAAGCUGUUGCUCGAAGAGGGGCCCGCGUCCCAUCAGCUAGUUGGUAGGGUGACGGCCUACCAAGGCGACGACGGGUAGCUGGUCUGAGAGGACGACCAGCCACACGGGAAUUGAGAUACGGUCCCGACUCCUACGGGAGGCAGCAGUGGGGAAUCUUGGGCAAUGGGGGAAACCCUGACCCAGCGACGCCGCGUGGGGGAUGAAGGCCUUCGGG
rnacentral:rRNA from 1 species